GUGCCAGCAGCCGCGGUAAUACGAAGGGGGCUAGCGUUGUUCGGAAUUACUGGGCGUAAAGCGCACGUAGGCGGAUCGAUCAGUCAGGGGUGAAAUCCCAGGGCUCAACCCUGGAACUGCCUUUGAUACUGUCGAUCUGGAGUAUGGAAGAGGUGAGUGGAAUUCCGAGUGUAGAGGUGAAAUUCGUAGAUAUUCGGAGGAACACCAGUGGCGAAGGCGGCUCUCUGGACCAGCACUGACACUGAGGCACGAAAGCGUGGGGAGCAAACAGGAUUAGAUACCCUGGUAGUCCACGCCCUAAACGAUGCGAACUGGACGUUGGGAGCAAUCAGGCUCUCAGUGUCGAAGCUAACGCGUUAAGUUCGCCGCCUGGGGAGUACGGUCGCAAGACUGAAACUCAAAGAAAUUGACGGGA
rnacentral:rRNA from 1 species